UUAUUGCUCUUGAACGAGGAAUCCCUAGUAAGCACAAGUCACUAGCUUGUGCUGAUUACGUCCCUGCCCUUUGUACACACCGCCCGUCGCUACUACCGAUUGAAUGGCUUAGUGAGGCCCUUGGAUCGGAGGUGUAUUCUCGCAAGAGAUCUCGCUUUCGAGAAGUUGGUCAACCUUGGUCAUUUAGAGGAAGUAAAAGUCGUAACAAGGUUUCCGUAGGUGAACCUGCGGAAGGAUCAUUACCAAUCUCUUAGCGGGCCUUGGCUUGUCCAUGGUUCGCAAAAACUUGUAUUUAAAACCCAACUCAUGUAAAUGAAAUCAUACUUUUUAUAUCUUAUGAUGUAAAUAAAGAUCACUUUCAACAACGGAUCUCUUGGCUCUCGCAUCGAUGAAGAACGUAGCGAAGUGCGAUAAGUAAUGUGAAUUGCAGAAUCCGUGAAUCAUCGAAUCUUUGAACGCAAAUUGCACUUCCUGGUAUUCCGGGGAGUAUGCCUGUUUGAGGGUCGUUUUAAAUUAAAUCGAUGUGUUGUUUUUUCGUGAUGACACGUCGGAGUUGGGUUAUCAUCUUAGCUUUUUUUAGUUAAGAGACCUAAAAUUGACUUUUUUGCGCAUUCUAGACGUGUAAUUUUUUUUAUCUGUCUCGUUAUGCUCAAUGAUUUCAUUAGGUGCGGUCAUGUUCAAUGUGGUCUCGUGUCUAUGAUUCUCGUUUUCGACCUCAAAUCAGGUAGGGAUACCCGCUGAACUUAAGCAUAUCAAUAAGCGGAGGACACAUAUGUUAGAUUCCUCGUUGAAGAGCGAUAAACACUCGCACACAUGUUAGAUUCCUCGUUGAAGAGCGAUAAACACUCGCACAUAUGUUAGAUUCCUCGUUGAAGAGCGAUAAACACUCGCACAUAUGUUAGAUUCCUCGUUGAAGAGCGAUAAACACUCGCACACAUGUUAGAUUCCUCGUUGAAGAACAAUAAACACUCGCACAUAUGUUAGAACACUCACACACAUGUAACACUCGCACACAUGUUAGAUAACACUCGCACACAUGUUAGAUAACACUCGCACACAUGUUAGAUUCCUCGUUGAAGGGCGAAGAUUCCUCGUUGAAGAGCA
rnacentral:rRNA from 1 species